UGGGGAAUCUUCCGCAAUGGACGAAAGUCUGACGGAGCAACGCCGCGUGAGUGAUGACGGCCUUCGGGUUGUAAAGCUCUGUGAUCGGGGACGAAUGGCUGGUAUGCUAAUACCAUAUCAGAGUGACGGUACCCGAAUAGCAAGCCACGGCUAACUACGUGCCAGCAGCCGCGGUAAUACGUAGGUGGCAAGCGUUGUCCGGAAUUAUUGGGCGUAAAGCGCGCGCAGGCGGCUUCUUAAGUCCAUCUUAAAAGUGCGGGGCUUAACCCCGUGAUGGGAUGGAAACUGGGAGGCUGGAGUAUCGGAGAGGAAAGUGGAAUUCCUAGUGUAGCGGUGAAAUGCGUAGAGAUUAGGAAGAACACCGGUGGCGAAGGCGACUUUCUGGACGACAACUGACGCUGAGGCGCGAAAGCGUGGGGAGCAAACA
rnacentral:rRNA from 1 species